rnacentral:ncRNA from 1 species
AUUUGUUUAACUGUGGCAAUAAGAAAUAUUAUAGUUUAUUUACUGCAUAAAAAGCUUUUAUUUUAUAAUUUAAUGUAGUUUAUUAAUUAUAUUUAGCAGUUAGUUUUUUGUUAAGAUUCACGUUUUAUAAGGAUAAGCUAUUAAAAAGGGGAUAGGACACAGUGCCAGCAUCUGCGGUUAUUCUGUUUUCUUUGUUUUUUUAUAGAUUGUGUUUAUUUACUAAUAAUCAAUGUUAGGUUAAAUUUUUUUGUUUAUAAUUUAUGUAAUUAAAUAUUUAUAAAAUGUAUUAUAAUGACAGGGAUUAGAUACCCCAUUAAUGUAUUUUGUAUUUAAUAUCUUAGUUUAAUAACUAAAAUGGUUUGGCAGUGAGUGAUUCUUUUUAGGGGAAGGUGUGGUGUAAAGGAUGUUCCGCCUAUUAUUUUACUUUUAUUAUGUUGGUGUAUAUCUGAUUUAAUAUUAUUGCUUAAUGGUUAAAGUUUGUGUAUAUUUAUUUAAGUCAAGUCUAUGUGCUGCUUAUAAAAGUAUUCAUGCGUUACUUUAAUAAUAUGUUAGAUGAAAUAUUAAUUGAUUUAGGACUUAAUAGUAAUGUUUAAUUAGUUUGUAAAUGUGAAUAUAGUUUAGCUCAUGUACACACCGCCCGUCACCCUCGAUUAUUAUUGAGUAAGUCGUAACAAGGUAACUUUAAAUGAAUUUGAAGUUGGUUAUUAAUUUAUUUAAUUUUA